CGGGAAGUGGGAUAGAGGCUAAUCCGCUUGGUUCGGGACCAAGAAAUCGGCGGUUCAAAUCCGCCCUUCCCGA
rnacentral:tRNA from 1 species